rnacentral:rRNA from 1 species
UACGUAGGGCGCAAGCGUUGUCCGGAAUUAUUGGGCGUAAAGAGCUCGUAGGCGGCCUGUCGCGUCUGCUGUGAAAUCCCGGGGCUUAACCCCGGGCGUGCAGUGGAUACGGGCUGGCUGGAGGCAGGCAGGGGAGAAUGGAAUUCCCGGUGUAGCGGUGAAAUGCGCAGAUAUCGGGAGGAACACCGGUGGCGAAGGCGGUUCUCUGGGCCUGUUCUGACGCUGAGGAGCGAAAGCGUGGGGAGCGAACAGG